UAAGCGGAGGAAAAGAAACUAACAAGGAUUCCCCUAGUAACUGCGAGUGAAGCGGGAAGAGCUCAAAUUUAAAAUCUGGCGGUCUCGCACCGUCCGAGUUGUAAUCUAGAGAAGCGCUAUCCGCGUUGGACCGUGUACAAGUCUCCUGGAAUGGAGCGUCACAGAGGGUGAGAAUCCCGUCUUUGACACGGACUACCAAGGCUUAUGUGAUGCGCUCUCGAAGAGUCGAGUUGUUUGGGAAUGCAGCUCAAAAUGGGUGGUAAAUUCCAUCUAAAGCUAAAUAUUGGCGAGAGACCGAUAGCGAACAAGUACCGUGAGGGAAAGAUGAAAAGAACUUUGGAAAGAGAGUUAAACAGUACGUGAAAUUGUUGAAAGGGAAACGCUUGAAGUCAGUCGCGUCGUCCGGGGAUCAACCUUGCAUUUUUGCUGGGCGUAUUUCCCGGUUGACGGGUCAGCAUCAAUUUUGACCGUUGGAUAAAGGCUCUGGGAAUGUGGCAUCUUCGGAUGUGUUAUAGCCCCCUGUCGCAUACAACGGUUGGGAUUGAGGAACUCAGCACGCCGCAAGGCCGGGUGUUUUCACCACGUACGUGCUUAGGAUGCUGGCAUAAUGGCUUUA
rnacentral:rRNA from 1 species